rnacentral:rRNA from 1 species
UACAGAGGGUGCAAGCGUUGUUCGGAAUCAUUGGGCGUAAAGAGCGCGCAGGCGGUCGUUCAAGUCGCGUGUGAAAGCCCCCGGCUCAACUGGGGAGGGUCACGCGAUACUGAUCGACUCGAAGGCAGGAGAGGGUAGUGGAAUUCCCGGUGUAGUGGUGAAAUGCGUAGAUAUCGGGAGGAACACCAGUGGCGAAGGCGACUACCUGGCCUGUUCUUGACGCUGAGGCGCGAAAGCUAGGGGAGCAAACGGG